rnacentral:rRNA from 1 species
UACGUAGGUGGCAAGCGUUAUCCGGAAUUACUGGGCGUAAAGCGCACGUAGGCGGUUGGCUAAGUCUGACGUGAAAGCUCCUGGCUUAACUGGGAGAGGUCGUUGGAAACUGGCUGACUUGAGGCGAUGAGAGGGACGUAGAAUUCCCGGUGUAGUGGUGGAAUGCGUAGAUAUCGGGAGGAAUACCAGUGGCGAAAGCGGCGUCCUAGCAUCGGCCUGACGUUCAUGUGCGAAAGCGUGGGGAGCGAACGGGAUUAGAUACCCCGGUAGUCCACGCUGUAAACGAUGAGCACUAGGUGUGGGGAGUGUUAAAACUGUCCGUGCCGAAGCCAACGCGUUAAGUGCUCCGCCUGGGGAGUACGGCCGCAAGGCUAAA